rnacentral:lncRNA from 1 species
UUAGUCCACUUACGAUUGCUUAACAUAGCACUAAAUUGUCUUAUGACACACUAACAUUGACUACUAACUACUAACUUUAAUUCAAGCAUUUAAUUUCUUGCAAUUUACUUUAAUGCACUUUAUUUCUUGCUCAUUUAUUCAUAUUGCCUUUUCCCUUUGCUCACUUGAGCACAUAUUUUAUGUUUAUGUCAUUUUCCUUUUGCUCAUUUGGG